UACAGGGGGUGCUAGCGUUGUUCGGAAUUACUGGGCGUAAAGGGCGCGUAGGCGGUUUCGCAAGUCAAGGGUGAAAUCCCGGAGCUUAACUGGUGGCUUGCUUUCGAUACGGGCAGACUGGAGUACUGCAGGGGAGACUGGAAUUCCUGGUGUAGCGGUGGAAUGCGCAGAUAUCAGGAGGAACACCGGUGGCGAAGGCGGGUCUCUGGGCAGUAACUGACGCUGAGGAGCGAAAGCGUGGGGAGCGAACAGG
rnacentral:rRNA from 1 species